GGAUUGAGUAGUAAGGGCCGGGCAAGACCGGUGCCAGCCGCCGCGUUAACACCGGCGGCUCAAGUGGUACCCUUUAUUAUUGGGCCUAAAGCGUCCGUAGCCGGUUGGAUAAGUCUCUGGGGAAAUCCGGCAGCUUAACUGUGGGACUUGCAGGAGAUACUAUCUGACUUGAGGCCGGGAGAGGUGAGAGGUACUUCAGGGGUAGGGGUGAAAUCUUUUAAUCCUGGAAGGACCACCUGUGGCGAAGGCGCCUAACUGGAACGAACCUGACGGUGAGGAACGAAGGCUAGGGGCACGAACCGAAUUAGAUACCCGGGUAGUCCUGGCCGUAAACGACAUUCGAUAUGUGUUGCCACGGCGUCAACGUGCUCCAGAACGAAGGGGACUAGAAGUCCACCC
rnacentral:rRNA from 1 species